AGAACGAACGCUGGCGGCAGGCCUAAUACAUGCAAGUCGAACGCACUCUUCGGAGUGAGUGGCAGACGGGUGAGUAACGCGUGGGAACCUUCCCAAUGGUACGGAAUAACUCCGGGAAACCGGUGCUAAUACCGUAUAAGCCCCUCGGGGGAAAGAUUUAUCGCCAUUGGAUGGGCCCGCGUCGGAUUAGCUAGUUGGUAAGGUAAUGGCUUACCAAGGCUACGAUCCGUAGCUGGUCUGAGAGGAUGAUCAGCCACACUGGGACUGAGACACGGCCCAGACUCCUACGGGAGGCAGCAGUAGGGAAUCUUGGACAAUGGGCGAAAGCCUGAUCCAGCCAUGCCGCGUGAGUGAAGAAGGCCUUAGGGUUGUAAAGCUCUUUUGGCGGGACGAUAAUGACGGUACCGCAGAAUAAGCCCGGCUAACUUCGUGCCAGCAGCCGC
rnacentral:rRNA from 1 species